rnacentral:rRNA from 1 species
CACACCGCCCGUCACACCACGAAAGUGGUCAUAACCAGAAGUGUCUGAGCUAACGCAAGAGGCAGGAUACCAAGGUUGUGGCCGUGAUUGGGGUGAAGUCGUAACAAGGUACCC